AGAGUUUGAUCAUGGCUCAGAUUGAACGCUGGCGGCAGGCUUAACACAUGCAAGUCGAGCGGGGAAGGGUAGCUUGCUACCUGACCUAGCGGCGGACGGGUGAGUAAUGCUUAGGAAUCUGCCUAUUAGUGGGGGACAACAUUCCGAAAGGAAUGCUAAUACCGCAUACGCCCUACGGGGGAAAGCAGGGGAUUCUUCGGACCUUGCCCUAAAAGAUGAGCCUAAGUCAGGAUUAGCUAGUUGGUGGGGGUAAAGGCCUACCAAGGCCGACGAUCUGUAGGCGGGUUCUGAAGAGGAUGGAUCCCGCCACACCCUGGGGAACUGGAGAACACACGGCCCCAGAACUUCUCUACGGGAGAGGCAAGCAGGUGGGGGAAUAUAAUUGGAACAAUGGGGCGAAAAGGCCUGGAUUCCAGCCCUGGCCGCGCGGGUGUGGAAA
rnacentral:rRNA from 1 species